GGGCCCAUAGCUCAGCUGGUCAGAGCCCCCGGCUCAUAACCGGAUGGUCCCAGGUUCGAAUCCUGGUGGGCCCACCA
rnacentral:tRNA from 1 species